CCUACGGGAGGCAGCAGUGAGGAAUAUUGGUCAAUGGACGCAAGUCUGAACCAGCCAUGCCGCGUGCAGGAAGACGGCCCUAUGAGUUGUAAACUGCUUUUGUACGAGGGUAAACGCAGAUACGCGUAUCUGUCUGAAAGUAUCGUACGAAUAAGGAUCGGCUAACUCCGUGCCAGCAGCCGCGGUAAUACGGAGGAUUCAAGCGUUAUCCGGAUUUAUUGGGUUUAAAGGGUGCGUAGGCGGUCGGAAAAGUUAGAGGUGAAAUCCCGGGGCUCAACUUCGGAAUUGCCUGUGAUACUGUUCGGCUAGAGAGUAGUAGCGGUAGGCGGAAUGUGUGGUGUAGCGGUGAAAUGCUUAGAGAUCAUGCAGAACACCGAUUGCGAAGGCAGCUUACCGGGCUACUUCUGACGUUGAGGCACGAAAGCGUGGGGAGCGAACAGGAUUAGAUACCCUGGUAGUC
rnacentral:rRNA from 1 species